rnacentral:rRNA from 1 species
GACGAACCGUGCGAACGUUAUUCGGAAUCACUGGGCUUAAAGCGCGUGUAGGCGGGCGGGUACGUCGGCGACUGAAAGCCCCCGGCUCAACCGGGGAAGGGGUGCCGAAACGGCCGGCCUGGAGGGGCGUAGGGGGACCUGGAACUUCCGGUGGAGCGGUGAAAUGCGUUGAGAUCGGAAGGAACGCCCGUGGCGAAAGCGAGGUCCUGGACGCCAGCUGACGCUGAGACGCGAAAGCCAGGGGAGCGAACGGG